rnacentral:rRNA from 1 species
GAGACCCCUGUUGUGGAGAUUGAAGAGGCUGGCAACACCAUGACCGUGAUGCUCUUCCAGAGAUGGCCUGUGCGUCAGGCUCGCCCCUGUGUUGAGAAGCUCCAGGGCAAG